rnacentral:rRNA from 1 species
AUUGAACGCUGGCGGCAGGCCUAACACAUGCAAGUCGAGCGGCAGCGGGAAAGUAGCUUGCUACUUUUGCCGGCGAGCGGCGGACGGGUGAGUAAUGCCUGGGAAAUUGCCCAGUCGAGGGGGAUAACAGUUGGAAACGACUGCUAAUACCGCAUACGCCCUACGGGGGAAAGCAGGGGACCUUCGGGCCUUGCGCGAUUGGAUAUGCCCAGGUGGGAUUAGCUAGCUGGUGAGGUAAUGGCUCACCAAGGCGACGAUCCCUAGCUGGUCUGAGAGGAUGAUCAGCCACACUGGAACUGAGACACGGUCCAGACUCCUACGGGAGGCAGCAGUGGGGAAUAUUGCACAAUGGGGGAAACCCUGAUGCAGCCAUGCCGCGUGUGUGAAGAAGGCCUUCGGGUUGUAAAGCACUUUCAGCGAGGAGGAAAGGUUGAUGCCUAAUACGUAUCAACUGUGACGUUACUCGCAGAAGAAGCACCGGCUAACUUCGUGCCAGCCGCCGCCGUAAUAC